AUUGAACGCUGGCGGCAGGCCUAACACAUGCAAGUCGAACGAGUGGCGGACGGGUGAGUAAUGUCUAGGAAACUGCCCGAUGGCGGGGGAUAACUACUGGAAACGGUAGCUAAUACCGCAUACCAUCGGAUGUGCCCAGAUGGUAUUAGCUAGUAGGUGGGGUAAUGGCUCACCUAGGCGACGAUCCAUAGCUGGUCUGAGAGGAUGACCAGCCACACUGGAACUGAGACACGGUCCAGACUCCUACGGGAGGCAGCAGUGGGGAAUCUUGCACAAUGGGCGCAAGCCUGAUGCAGCCAUGCCGCGUGUAUGAAGAAGGCCUUCGGGUUGUAAAGUACUUUAAGCGAGGAGGCGUUACUCGCAGAAGAAGCAACGGCUAACUACGUGCCAGCAGCCGCGGUAAUUC
rnacentral:rRNA from 1 species